rnacentral:tRNA from 10 species
GGGCCUGUAGCUCAGGGGUUAGAGCAGUCGACUCAUAAUCGAUUGGUCGUGGGUUCGAAACCCACCGGGCCCACCA